AAGUCUGGUGCCAGCAGCCGCGGUAAUUCCAGCUCCAAUAGCGUAUAUUAAAGUUGUUGCGGUUAAAAAGCUCGUAGUUGGUUCUGCGUGCCGCGCUGUCGGUUCGCCGCCUGUCGGUGUAACUGGCAUGUCGCGGCAUGUCCUGUCGGUGGUGAACGGAGUCCACGACGCUACAUGGGCUUUAUAGUCGAUGUUAGCAUCGUGUGUACUUCCGUUGGCCGAUCUCUCCUACUUCGGUGCUCUUAAACGAGUGUCGAGGUAGGCCGACACGUUCACUUUGAACAAAUUAGAGUGCUUAAAGCAGGCUGAAAUAUCUGCCUGAAUAGUGGUGCAUGGAAUGAUAAAACAGGACCUCGGUUCUAUUUUGUUGGUUUUAGGAAUAUGAGGUAAUGAUCAAUGUGGACUGGCGGGGGCAUUCGUAUUGCGACGUUAGAGGUGAAAUUCUUGGAUCGUCGCAAGACGCACUAGAGCGAAAGCAUUUGCCAAGUAUGUCUUAAUUGAUCAAGAACGAAAGUUAGAGGUUCGAAGGCGAUCAGAUACCGCCCUAGUUCUAACCAUAAACGAUGCCAGCCAGCGAUCCGCCGAUGUUCCUUUAAUGACUCGGCGGGGAGCUUCCACCCGGGAAACCAAAGCUUUUGGGUUCCGGGGGAAGUAUGGUUGCAAAGCUGAAACUUAAAGGAA
rnacentral:rRNA from 1 species